rnacentral:rRNA from 1 species
AUUGAACGCUGGCGGCAGGCCUAACACAUGCAAGUCGAACGAGCGGCGGACGGGUGAGUAAUGUAUGGGGAUCUGCCUGAGUGAGGGGGAUAACUACUGGAAACGGUGGCUAAUACCGCAUACCAUCAGCUGAACCCAUAUGGGAUUAGCUAGUAGGUGGGGUAAAGGCUCACCAAGGCGACGAUCUCUAGCUGGUCUGAGAGGAUGACCAGCCACACUGGAACUGAGACACGGCCCAGACUCCUACGGGAGGCAGCAGUGGGGAAUAUUGCACAAGGGGCGCAAGCCUGAUGCAGCCAUGCCGCGUGUAUGAAGAAGGCCUUAGGGUUGUAAAGUACUUUCAGCGGGGAGGCGUUACCCGCAGAAGAAGCACCGGCUAACUCCGUGCCAGCAGCCGCGGUAAUAC